rnacentral:rRNA from 1 species
GAAUGCUAAAAGAAUGGAAAUUUAAAAAAAAACUUUUUUAAAAAUAAAAAUUGAAUUUUUUUUAAUUUGUGCAAAAACAAUUAUAUUUAUUAAAGACAAGAAGACCCUAAGAAUUUAAGAUUUUACAAUUAAAAAGUUUUUUUUUUUAAAAUCUUGAUUGGGGCGAUCAAAAAAUAUCAAUAACUUUUUAAAAUUUAAAUUGAUCUAUUAUUAAUAAACUAAUGAAUUAAAUACUCUAGGGAUAACAGCGUAAUAAUUUUUGAUAGAUCUUAUUGACAAAAUAGUUUGCGACCUCGAUGUUGGAUUAGGAUUCUUUUUUAAUGAAAAAGUUAAAAAAAGAAGUUUGUUCAACUUUUAAAUUCCUACUUGAUCUGAGUUCAGACCG